GGGUGCGAGCGUUACCCGGAUUUACUGGGCGUAAAGGGCGUGUAGGCGGCCCGUUAAGUCCGGUGUCAAAGCCCACGGCUCAACCGUGGAAAGGCGCCGGAUACUGGCGGGCUAGACGGACGGAGGGGGUAGCGGAAUUCCCGGAGUAGCGGUGAAAUGCGUAGAUACCGGGAGGAACGCCGAUAGCGAAGGCAGCUACCUGGACGUCCCGUGACGCUGAGGCGCGAAAGCGUGGGGAGCAAACCGGAUUAGAUACCCGGGUAGUCCACGCCCUAAACGAUGAGUGCUGGGUGUCGGGCUUUGGCUCGGCGCCGUAGCUAACGCGUUAAGCACUCCGCCUGGGGAGUACGGCCGCAAGGCUGAAACUCAAAGGAAUUGACGGGGGCCCGCACAAGCGGUGGAGCAUGUGGUUUAAUUCGAAGCAACGCGAAGAACCUUACCAGGCCUUGACAUGCCGGGAACCCCCUGGAAACAGGGGGGUGCCCUUCGGGGAGCCCGGACACAGGUGCUGCAUGGCCGUCGUCAGCUCGUGUCGUGAGAUGUUGGGUUAAGUCCCGCAACGAGCGCAACCCCGUCGCUAGUUGCCAGCAGUUCGGCUGGGCACUCUAGCGAGACUGCCCGGGAAACCGGGAGGAAGGCGGGGAUGACGUCUGGUCAGCAUGGCCCUUACGGCCUGGGCGACACACGUGCUACAAUGGUCGGCCCAAAGCGCAGCGACCCUGCGACGGGAAGCGAAUCGCAAAAAGCCGAUCUCAGUUCGGAUUGCAGUCUGCAACUCGACUGCAUGAAGGCGGAAUCGCUAGUAAUCGCGGAUCAGCCAUGCCGCGGUGAAUACGUUCCCGGGCC
rnacentral:rRNA from 1 species